GAUGAACGCUAGCGGCAGGCCUAACACAUGCAAGUCGAGGGGGAGGUUACUUUCGGGUAACUGAGACCGGCGUACGGGUGCGUAACGCGUAUACAAUCUGCCUUUCACUGGGGGAUAGCCAGAAGAAAUUUGGAUUAAUACCCCAUAGUAUAGUAAUACGGCAUCGUGAUGCUAUUAAAGCUUAGGUGGUGAAAGAUGAGUAUGCGUUCUAUUAGCUAGUUGGAGAGGUAACGGCUCCCCAAGGCGAUGAUAGAUAGGGGUUCUGAGAGGGAUGUCCCCCACACUGGUACUGAGAUACGGACCAGACUCCUACGGGAGGCAGCAGUGAGGAAUAUUGGACAAUGGUCGGAAGACUGAUCCAGCCAUGCCGCGUGCAGGAUGAAGGUCUUAUGGAUUGUAAACUGCUUUUGUAAGGGAAGAAUAAGGGCUACGCGUAGUUUGAUGACGGUACCUUACGAAUAAGCAUCGGCUAACUCCGUG
rnacentral:rRNA from 1 species